GUAAAUUAGGAUAUAAAUUCUAUUAGUUUUCAAGGCUAGAGGAGCUAAAUUCAAAUAUGAGUUUACA
rnacentral:tRNA from 1 species